rnacentral:tRNA from 1 species
CACUGCAUAAAACUUAAGCUUUUACUCACGGAGGUUCAACUCCUCUUCUUAACA